UCUUAUAGGUCCUUGAACAGAUUUCUACAGCUCCAUGUGAUUUUUUUUUUCCUUAGCUCCAGUGUGCUGGUUGCAUAUUAGUUCUACCCACUUCAGUCCCAGAAGAAGAGACGAGUGUGCUUUGCUACCCUUAUGAUGGAAAACACAAACUUGGCAUGAAAAUCGCAUAAUGGUCAGAUACCCAGUGCCUUUCAGAUCAUGUUUUAAAACCUUCCACGUCUGGCGUUGGGAACGCAGCCGCGGCUUGGUAGUGGAUAGCAAGAGGCAAAGGUCAGACCGGAGGCUGCGCAAAUAUUGUGUGCUGGAUUUAUUGUUUUAAUUAAGAGUGUGGCAGUUCAUCAUAAACUGUUUAUGGCGUUUCUGCACAGUGCAGCAUUUUGAAAUCAGCUGUUUUAAUGAAAACAUAAUGUCAUAUCUGUCAAAGUUCUAAAUAUUUUGGAAGUGAAAUAUGGAAACAAGAACUUUAAUUCUAGGUUUACUGAGAUUAGCUCAUUGAAUUGCUUUUAAAUCCCUUAAGAGGGUCACAUCAUGGGGACUGCACGGUUUCUUGUAGGUGACUGGGAAAAAAAAUUCCAGGAGGUUCUCAAGCUGGUUAUUUAAUAGUGAAAAUACAAGCUGAAGGUUAAUGUAUCGAAAAACAAAACCAUUAUGGUUGGCGUUGGGGUUUUAGAUUAAAGAGGUAAUAACGGGUGGGCAGGGGCCUCGGUGCCCAGUUGUUUGGGGAGGCCUAAUUGUGCCGAGAGGGAGCCGAAAGCCUUUGAGGGCAGGAGAGAAAUAGAUCCACCCUGGUCCCUUUCCAGUUGUGAAGCUUCCACAUCGCCGUGUUAGCAACUAAUUAUUUAUAAUGACCUCAAAGAUGAUGGCGUUUCAUGGACUUUUCAGGCUGAGCAGUUUGCA
rnacentral:lncRNA from 1 species